AUUGAACGCUGGCGGCAGGCCUAACACAUGCAAGUCGAGCGGAUGAAGGGAGCUUGCUCCUGGAUUCAGCGGCGGACGGGUGAGUAAUGCCUAGGAAUCUGCCUGGUAGUGGGGGAUAACGUCCGGAAACGGGCGCUAAUAUCGCAUACGUCCUGAGGGAGAAAGUGGGGGAUCUUCGGACCUCACGCUAUCAGAUGAGCCUAGGUCGGAUUAGCUAGUUGGUGGGGUAAAGGCCUACCAAGGCGACGAUCCGUAACUGGUCUGAGAGGAUGAUCAGUCACACUGGAACUGAGACACGGUCCAGACUCCUACGGGAGGCAGCAGUGGGGAAUAUUGGACAAUGGGCGAAAGCCUGAUCCAGCCAUGCCGCGUGUGUGAAGAAGGUCUUCGGAUUGUAAAGCACUUUAAGUUGGGAAGAAGGGCAGUAAGUUAAUACCUUGCUGUUUUGACGUUACCAACAGAAUAAGCACCGGCUAACUUCGUG
rnacentral:rRNA from 1 species